rnacentral:rRNA from 1 species
GUGGGGAAUAUUGGACAAUGGGCGAAAGCCUGAUCCAGCAAUGCCGCGUGAGUGAUGAAGGCCUUAGGGUUGUAAAGCUCUUUUACCCGGGAUGAUAAUGACAGUACCGGGAGAAUAAGCUCCGGCUAACUCCGUGCCAGCAGCCGCGGUAAUACGGAGGGAGCUAGCGUUAUUCGGAAUUACUGGGCGUAAAGCGCGCGUAGGUGGCCGGCUAAGUCGAACGUGAAAUCCCUGGGCUCAACCCAGGAACUGCGUCCGAUACUGGUUGGCUUGAAUCCGGGAGAGGGAUGUGGAAUUCCAGGUGUAGCGGUGAAAUGCGUAGAUAUCUGGAGGAACACCGGUGGCGAAGGCGACAUCCUGGACCGGUAUUGACGCUGAGGCGCGAAAGCCAGGGGAGCAAA